GAACCGACAACCGAGACCACGAUGGAAAGGACCCAGGAUGACCCCACGGACACCACGCCUGGGGGUGUGGGGAGCUAGGAUGGGGACCUGGGCUCGGACCCCCUUCACCUACCCCUAACCGUUCACACCUCACCCCGCCUGACCCAACGUCUAACCCCCCUCCUCCACCUUUCACACCCCUGUCCUUCACUACCCCCCACACACCUUCUCC